UUAAGCUACUAAGAGCGCGUGGUGGAUGCCUUGGCGCUAGAGGCCGAAGAAGGGCGUAGCUUGGCUGCGAUAAGCCCGGGGGAAUUGUCAAGCAAGUUGAUCCCGGGAUACCCGAAUGGGGUAACCCGUCUCGAUUGAUUUCGGGACACCGUCGACUGAACACAUAAGUCGAAUGGAGGCAAGCAGGGGAACUGAAACAUCUAACUACCCUGAGGAAAAGAGAUUAUUCCGUUAGUAGUGGCGAGCGAACGCGGAUCAGCCCAAACCGUGGAGGCUUAAAGGAUGCGGGUCCUAUGUCUGUGCGGUGUUGUGCGCUUUACUGGGAGACGUCCGCAACGUCUCGCGAAGUUACAAACCAUAUCCCUAGCCGAAAGUUGUGGAGACAACUGCCUUAGAGGGUGAAAGCCCCGUAGGUGAAAGGGUGAGGCUUCGUGCAGUAUUGUCGCGAGUACCACGGGACACGAGAAAUCUUGUGGGAAACUGGGGAGACCACUCUCCAAGGCUAAAUACCUCUAGCGACCGAUAGUGAACUAGUACCGUGAGGGAAAGGUGAAAAAUACCCCGGGAGGGGAGUGAAAUAGAUCUGAAACCAUGUGCUUACAAACGGUCAGAGUCUUUUUUCGAAAAGAUGAUGGCGUGCCUAUUGAAGAAUGAUCCGGCGAGUUAAUACAUGUCGCGAGGUUAAGGAUGUUGACAUCUGUAGCCGUAGCGAAGGCGAGUCUGAAUAGGGCGAUGCAGUGGCAUGUAUUAGACCCGAAACCAGGUGAGCUACCCAUGGCCAGGGUGAAGCGAGUUUAAAAGCUUGUGAAGGCCCGAACCGUUGAACGGUGCAAAGUUCUCGGAUGAGCUGUGGGUAGAGGUAAAAUGCCAAUCGAACCUGGAGAUAGCUGGUUCUCUCCGAAAUGCAUUUAGGUGCAGCCUUAUGGCUUCACCUCUGGAGGUAGGGCUCUGAAUGGACUAGGGGGCGAAAGCUUACCAAACCCAAUCAAACCACAAAUGCCAGAGGCCUAGACCAUAAGAGUGAGUCAGUGGGGGAUAAGCUCCAUUGUCGAGAGGGAAACAACCCAGAUCACCAGCUAAGGUCCCUAAGUGUAGUCUAAGUGUCAAACGAGGUGGAAUUCCUAAAACAGCCAGGAGGUUGGCUCAGAAGCAGCCAUCCUUUAAAGAGUGCGUAACAGCUCACUGGUCGAGGAACUCCGCGCGGAUAAUGUACCGGGGCUAAAGUCUACCACCGAAGCUGUGGGCUUCUUCAUUUAGUUGAAGGAGCGGUAGGAGAGCGUUCCCUUUGCUUUGAAGCCCUGACGUGAGUCAGAGUGGAGCGCUGGGAAGUGAGAAUGCCGGAAUGAGUAGCAAUGAACCUGGGUGAGAAUCCCGGGCGCCGAAAAUCCAAGGUUUCCUACGCCACGGUCGUCGACGUAGGGUUAGGCGGACCUAAGCUGAGGGCGAAAGCCGUAAGCGAUGGACAGCUGGUUAGUAUUCCAGCCCCGGUGAGUUGUCGUUUAAAGCGUCGGAGUGACGCAGGAGGAUAGGAAAGGCGUACCCAUUGGACAUGGUAUGUCCCAAAGUCAAGGUGAUGCCGAAAUAGGUAAAUCCGUUUCGGAUAUUUAGCUGAGAUGCUGGGAGAGUCCUUCCACUACGGUGGAAUGUCGAUCUUUCUGAUUUCAUGCUGUCUAGAAAACCUUCGUCUGCUAUGGCAAUUUACCGACCGUACCGCAAACCGACACAGGUGGAUACUCCUAAAUGGGAGAAGGCGCGCGAGAUAACCCCCCUUAAGGAACUCGGCAAUUUAACCCCGUAACUUAGGAAUAAGGGGUGCCCUCGAUAGUUUUCGGGUAACUGAAUGCUUUUGAGGGUCACAGUAACAGGCCCGAGCGACUGUUUAACUAAAACAUAGGUCUCUGCGAAGGGGAAACCCGAAGUAUAGGGGCUGACGCCUGCCCAGUGCUGGAAGGUUAAGAGGAUGAGUGAGAGCUUUGAAUUUAAGCCCCAGUGAACGGCGGCCGUAACUAUAACGGUCCUAAGGUAGCGAAAUUCCUUGUCGGGUAAGUUCCGACCCGCACGAAUGGCGUAACGACUUGGGCGCUGUCUCGAGGGGGGACUCGGUGAAGUUGAAGUAUCCGUGAAGAUGCGGAUUACCCGCGGCAGGACAAAAAGACCCCGUGGAGCUUUACUGUAACCUGGCAUUGUGCUUGGGUCUCAGAUGUGUAGGAUAGGCGGGAGGCUAUGAAAUUUUGGCGUCAGCUGAGAUGGAGCCGUCCUUGAAAUACCGCCCCUCUUAGAUUUAUGUACUAACCCCUGAGCAAGCAGGGAGACCGUGUCAGGCGGGCAGUUUGACUGGGGCAGUCGCCUCCCAAAAGGUAAUGGAGGCGUACAAAGGUUCGCUCAGGGUGUAUGGAAACCACCCGCGGAGUGCAUUGGCAUAAGCGAGCUUGACUGUGAGGCAUACAAGCCGAGCAGGGACGAAAGUCGGUCAAAGUGAUCCUACGGCCCCGUGUGGAAGGGCCGUGGCUUAACGGAUAAAAGCUACCCCGGGGAUAACAGGCUGAUCCCUCCCAAGAGUUCAUAUCGACGGAGGGGUUUGGCACCUCGAUGUCGGCUCAACGCAUCCUGGGGGUGAAGGCGCUCCCAAGGGUCCGGCUGUUCGCCGGUUAAAGCGUUACGCGAGCUGGGUUCAGACCGUCGUGAGACAGGUCGGUCUCUAUCCGCCGUGGGCGUAGGAGAUUUGAGGGAAGCUUUUCCUAGUACGAGAGGACCGGAAAGGACAGACCGCUGGUGUGCCAGUUGUAUCGCCAGAUGCAGCGCUGGGUAGCCAUGUCUGGAAGGGAUAAGCGCUGAAAGCAUCUAAGCACGAAGCCCCUCCCAAGAUGAGAUCUCCCACCCUUUUUAGGAAGGGUUAAGGACGCAGGAAGACUACCUGCUUGAUAGGCCACAUGUGGAAGUACAGCAAUGUGCGGAGCUUAGUGGUACUAAUCGUCCGAGGGCUUAACCAU
rnacentral:rRNA from 1 species